rnacentral:rRNA from 1 species
UACGGAGGGGGCUAGCGUUGUUCGGAAUUACUGGGCGUAAAGCGCGCGUAGGCGGACCUGCAAGUCGGGGGUGAAAGCCCGAGGCUCAACCUCGGAACUGCCUUCGAUACUGCGGGUCUCGAGUCCGGGAGAGGUGAGUGGAAUUCCUAGUGUAGAGGUGAAAUUCGUAGAUAUUAGGAAGAACACCAGUGGCGAAGGCGGCCCACUGGCUCGAUACUGACGCUGAGGUGCGAAAGCGUGGGGAGCAAACAGG